AGAGUUUGAUCAUGGCUCAGGACGAACGCUGGCGGCGUGCCUAAUACAUGCAAGUCGAGCGCGGGAAGUAGGACUGAUUCCUUCGGGAUGACGACCUAUGGAACGAGCGGCGGAUGGGUGAGUAACACGUGGGUAAUCUGCCUGUAAGCCUGGGAUAACUUGCGGAAACGUGAGCUAAUACCGGAUGAAGCUCAUGAUCGCCUGAUCAUGAGACAAAAGGUGGCGCAAGCUACCACUUACAGAUGAGCCCGCGGCGCAUUAGCUAGUUGGUGGGGUAAUGGCCUACCAAGGCGACGAUGCGUAGCCGGCCUGAGAGGGUGAACGGCCACACUGGGACUGAGACACGGCCCAGACUCCUACGGGAGGCAGCAGUAGGGAAUCUUCCGCAAUGGACGCAAGUCUGACGGAGCGACGCCGCGUGAGCGAUGAAGGUCUUCGGAUCGUAAAGCUCUGUUGUUAGGGAAGAAUAAGUACCGUUCGAAUAGGGCGGUACCUUGACGGUACCUAACCAGAAAGCCCCGGCUAACUACGUGCCAGCAGCCGCGGUAAUACGUAGGGGGCAAGCGUUGUCCGGAAUUAUUGGGCGUAAAGCGCGCGUAGGCGGUCCUUUAAGUCUGAUGUGAAAUCUCUCGGCUUAACCGGGAGAGGUCAUUGGAAACUGGAGGACUUGAGUGCAGAAGAGGAGAGUGGAAUUCCACGUGGAGCGGUGAAAUGCGUAGAGAUGUGGAGGAACACCAGUGGCGAAGGCGGCUCUCUGGUCUGUAACUGACGCUGAGGUGCGAAAGCGUGGGUAGCGAACAGGAUUAGAUACCCUGGUAGUCCACGCCGUAAACGAUGAGUGCUAGGUGUCAGGGGUUUCCGCCCCUUGGUGCUGAAGUUAACGCAUUAAGCACUCCGCCUGGGGAGUACGGCCGCAAGGCUAAAACUCAAAGGAAUUGACGG
rnacentral:rRNA from 1 species